rnacentral:rRNA from 1 species
GAUGAACGCUGGCGGCGUGCUUAACACAUGCAAGUCGAACGGUGAAGCCCAGCUUGCUGGGUGGAUCAGUGGCGAACGGGUGAGUAACACGUGAGCAAACUGCCCCUGACUCUGGGAUAAGCGCUGGAAACGGCGUCUAAUACUGGAUACGAACCGUGGAGGCAUCUUCAACGGUUGGAAAGAUUUUUUGGUCAGGGAUGAGCUCGCGGCCUAUCAGCUUGUUGGUGAGGUAAUGGCUCACCAAGGCGUCGACGGGUAGCCGGCCUGAGAGGGUGACCGGCCACACUGGGACUGAGACACGGCCCAGACUCCUACGGGAGGCAGCAGUGGGGAAUAUUGCACAAUGGGCGAAAGCCUGAUGCAGCAACGCCGCGUGAGGGAUGACGGCCUUCGGGUUGUAAACCUCUUUUAGCAGGGAAGAAGCGAAAGUGACGGUACCUGCAGAAAAAGCGCCGGCUAACUACGUGCCAGCAGCCGCAGUAAGAC